AAGUCGUAACAAGGUUUCCGUAGGUGAACCUGCGGAAGGAUCAUUAUAAAAUUUUCAUAUAUUAUUUAUUUAAUAUAUAAUAUUAUUUAUUUAAUAUAUAAAAUUAUAUACAAAAUGUAUUCAAAACCCACACACUUUAUAACCAAAAAAAAAAUAUAUAUUUUAAUAUAUAUAUAAAAAAACAACUUUCAACAACGGAUCUCUUGGCUCUC
rnacentral:misc_RNA from 1 species